rnacentral:rRNA from 1 species
GUCGUGUCUACCCUGUGGUCUCCUACCCUGUAGGAGACUACCUGGUGGUCACGGGUCUACCUGUCAGUGGCCCGUUAAACUCUGUUUAUUAUAUGCUAUUCUGAAUUAUCAACUAAAUAAGUUUAAAACUUUCAACAACGGAUCUCUUGGUUCUGGCAUCGAUGAAGAACGCAGCGAAAUGCGAUAAGUAAUGUGAAUUGCAGAAUUCAGUGAAUCAUCGAAUCUUUGAACGCACAUUGCGCCCAUUAGUAUUCUAGUGGGCAUGCCUGUUCGAGCGUCAUUUCAACMCUUAAGCCUUUGUUGCUUAGUGUUGGGAGCCUACGGCCUUCUGUAGCUCCUUAAAGUUAGUGGCAGAGUCGGUUUACACUCUAGACGUAGUAKUUUUCUUUUCUYGUCUGUAGUUAGGCCGGUCUCUUGCCGUAAAACMCCCCUAAAUUUUUUUUUUAAG